AUACGUAGGGGGCGAGCGUUGUCCGGAAUUAUUGGGCGUAAAGGGCGCGUAGGCGGUGACACAAGUCAGGUGAUAAAGGCACGGGCUCAACCGGUGUUAGGCACUUGAAACUGUGUUGCUAGAGUGCAGGAGAGGGGAGUGGAAUUCCAGGUGUAGCGGUGAAAUGCGUAGAUAUCUGGAAGAACACCAGUGGCGAAGGCGGCUCUCUGGACCGUAACUGACGCUGAGGCGCGAAAGCUGGGGGAGCAAACGGGAUUAGAUACCCUGGUAGUCCCAGCCGUAAACGAUGAACACUAGGUGUAGGGGGUAUCGACCCCCCCUGUGCCGGAGCUAACGCAAUAAGUACCCCGCCUGGGGAGUACGGCCGCAAGGUUGAA
rnacentral:rRNA from 1 species